rnacentral:rRNA from 1 species
CAGUCGUGGCCAGUGGGUUCAGCCGGUUCUGCCGGUCUACUCCCUCUGGCCGGGUCAACAUCAGUUUUGACCGAUGGAUAAUGGCGGGAGGAAGGUGGCACCCUCGGGUGUGUUAUAGCCUCCCGUCGCAUACGUCGGUCGAGACUGAGGAAUGCAGCUCGCCUUUAUGGCCGGGGUUCGCCCACGUCCGAGC